CUUAAGCUGCAUAUCAAUAGUUGAACAAAUAUCACUGGCUUAAGAGAAAAAUAUAAAAAUAAAAAAAGAAUUUUCACAGAAAGUCUAUAGACAAAAUUUUAUCGAUAAUACUCAAUUGAACCGUAUUUCCAAUUAAUGAAGUGAAUUCUCUUUACCAAAAAAAAAAAUAUAGGAGAAAGAGACUGGAAAAAAAAAUUUGAACUAUAUGAUGAGUUUGGAUACUAUAUAUAUAGGUACUAAUUACAAUAUUGGAAAUUUGAGAGAAUAAAUCAGGAACAUGAUAUCUUUUGCUAUCGAAAUUAAUUAAUAAUGGAAUGAAAUUAGAAAAGAAGUUUUUCACAAAAAGGAUACACACAUAGCUCUUUUUUUUAAUCAAUUAGUUAUAAUGAUUGUUAUUCUGAACAACAAACUUUCCCCAAUAUAAAAAAAAAGAUGUCCAAUUAAAUUCAACCGUUCUCUUAAUCAAACACAAAAAUUCAUGUUGACCAUGACACACUGAUUCAAACAAGAUUUUUAGUUAAUUAAAAGUCUAUUUUAAACUGCGUUGCAUAUGUAUAUCAUUCUAAAUAUUUACUAUAGACAAAUAAGAGCGGCAUAUGCAAUUAUUUAGACGAAACUGAAUAUUUCUCUCGUUCCAAAAAUUACAGCUUUGGAUAGAACUAAAUUUGCAUGUUCUCAAAUUAUUUCCUCUCUGAUAUUUUUAUAAUUCCUCACUUCUUUUAAUGAGUAUAAAAAAGAUUUCUAUAAAAAAAAUUUUCAAAACUAUUUGAAAAUAUAAAAUUAAUAUAUGAAAAAUUUAGUUCAAACUUAGAAAAUGCUUAAAAUAAUUUAAAAAUAAUUUAUUGCUAUUAAUUGAUUACCAAAGCUUAUAAAUAUUCGCUUGAAAAUAUUUAAAACGAAAUUUUUGGAAAACGAAUUAUCGUCUUUUACUUAUAAUAUGGGAUAAUUUAAUAUUUAAUAUAUUUAAAUAUAUAUUUACUUACGAAAUAAACUCGACAGAAAAUAUGUUG